CAGCGACCCCAGGUCAGGUGGGAUUACCCGCUGAGUUUAAGCA
rnacentral:rRNA from 1 species